rnacentral:rRNA from 1 species
CACGUAGGGGGCGAGCGUUGUCCGGAUUUAUUGGGCGUAAAGAGCUCGUAGGCGGUCUGUCGCGUCGGAUGUGAAAAUCCAGGGCUUAACCCUGGACCUGCAUUCGAUACGGGCAGACUAGAGUUCGGUAGGGGAGACUGGAAUUCCUGGUGUAGCGGUGAAAUGCGCAGAUAUCAGGAGGAACACCGGUGGCGAAGGCGGGUCUCUGGGCCGAAACUGACGCUGAGGAGCGAAAGCGUGGGGAGCAAACAGG